GGAAAGUUUGGGAAAGUUUUGGAGAGAGCUGUUCAAGAUGAUGGGCUUGGAUUUCCACUUUUCUACCUCCUUUCAUCCCCAAAAAGAUAGGCAGACUAAUGGGUGAAUGCAUUGUUGGAGCUCUAUCUUCGGCACUUUGUAAGUGCCAACCAAAAGGAUUGGGCUAGGCUACUGGAUGUUGAACAAUAUUCCUAUAAUCUACGAAGAAGUGAGUCUACGCAGCCCUUUGAGAUUGAUACUAGCCAACAGCCCCUAACUGCACAUGUUGUU
rnacentral:misc_RNA from 1 species